AUUAGAUACCCUGGUAGUCCAUACCGUAAACGAUGAAUGCUAAGUGUUGGAGGGUUUCCGGCCUUCAGUGCUGCAGCUAACGCAUUAAGCAUUCCGCCUGGGGAGUACGACCGCAAGGCUGAAACUCAAAGGAAUUGACGGGGCCCGCACAAGCGGUGGAGCAUGUGGUUUAAUUCGAAGCUACGCGAAGAACCUUCCCAGGUCUUGACAUAUUAUGCCAAAUCUAAGAGAUUAGACGUUCCCUUCGGGGACAUGGAUACAGGUGGUGCAUGGUUGUCGUCAGCUCGUGUCGUGAGAUGUUGGGUUAAGUCCCGCAACGAGCGCAACCCUUAUUAUCAGUUGCCAGCAUUAAGUUGGGCACUCUGGUGAGACUGCCGGUGACAAACCGGAGGAAGGUGGGGAUGACGUCAAAUCAUCAUGCCCCUUAUGACCUGGGCUACACACGUGCUACAAUGGAUGGUACAACGAGUUGCGAACUCGCGAGAGUAAGCUAAUCUCUUAAAGCCAUUCUCAGUUCGGAUUGUAGGCUGCAACUCGCCUACAUGAAGUCGGAAUCGCUAGUAAUCGCGGAUCAGCAUGCCGCGGUGAAUACGUUCCCGGGCCUUGUACACACCGCCCGUCACACCAUGAGAGUUUGUAACACCCAAAGUCGGUGGGGUAACCUUUUAGGAACCAGCCCGCCUAAAGGUGG
rnacentral:rRNA from 1 species